UGCAAACCCAAAGUCCACAUUUCCAUCAACAAAAAUCUAUUUUGUUUGGUGUUGCUGCCUUGAUGUGUGCUUAUUAUAUUACUGGAGCCGUGUGUAGAAUAUAGUAUCAUCAUGGAUCAUGAGAUGAGGAGGACGGUGGUAACUGGUGAUGGAGAAGGACGAGGGUGAUGGUGGUGCGGUGGGCUGUUGGCGGUUUUGGAGAGGAAGAAGGGUUUGAGAGUAGAGAGAAGACAGAGAAGGAGUGAGAGAGUGAGGAGUAAAAGGAGGUUUGGUAUGUGUAAUUGUGCUUUGACUUUGAAAUAUUGGUCAAAAUAUUUGGUCUGUACUUUCAGAUUACUUGUUUGAAAAUCUUAUCAAAGAUGGCAUCGGGCAGUGCAACAUGGUUGACAAAAUGAAAGGGCAAUACAGUAAUUUACACCAUGAACCACCUAGGGUUUUCCCGCCCAAGGACUUGCAAUACAAAAUUUAG
rnacentral:lncRNA from 1 species